rfam:Pseudozyma hubeiensis SY62 DNA, scaffold: PHS69.
GGUGCGAUGCCCGAGUGGUUAAGGGGUUAGUCUUGAAUUACAAUUCAACGGUCGUGCGAUGAGCUGAUUAACUAAUUCGCAAUGCGAGCGCAGGUUCGAACCCUGCUCGCACCG